GAUGAACGCUGGCGGCGUGCCUAAUACAUGCAAGUCGAGCGAACAGACGAUGAGCUUGCUCCUCUGACGUUAGCGGCGGACGGGUGAGUAACACGUGGAUAACCUACCUAUAAGACUGGGAUAACUUCGGGAAACCGGAGCUACUACCGGAUCAUAUAUUGAACCGCAUGGUUCAAUAGUUAAAGACGGUUUUGCUGUCACUUAUAGAUGGAUCCGCGCCGCAUUAGCUAGUUGGUAAGGUAACGGCUUACCAAGGCGACGAUGCGUAGCCGACCUGAGAGGGUGAUCGGCCACACUGGAACUGAGACACGGUCCAGACUCCUACGGGAGGCAGCAGUAGGGAAUCUUCCGCAAUGGGCGAAAGCCUGACGGAGCAACGCCGCGUGAGUGAUGAAGGUCUUCGGAUCGUAAAACUCUGUUAUUAGGGAAGAACAAAUGUGUAAGUAACUAUGCACGUCUUGACGGUACCUAAUCAGAAAGCCACGGCUAACUACGUG
rnacentral:rRNA from 1 species